rnacentral:rRNA from 1 species
UGGGGAAUUUUGGACAAUGGGCGAAAGCCUGAUCCAGCAAUGCCGCGUGUGUGAAGAAGGCCUUCGGGUUGUAAAGCACUUUUGUCCGGAAAGAAAUCCUUGGCUCUAAUACAGUCGGGGGAUGACGGUACCGGAAGAAUAAGCACCGGCUAACUACGUGCCAGCAGCCGCGGCAAUACGUAGGGUGCAAGCGUUAAUCGGAAUUACUGGGCGUAAAGCGUGCGCAGGCGGUUUGCUAAGACCGAUGUGAAAUCCCCGGGCUCAACCUGGGAACUGCAUUGGUGACUGGCAGGCUAGAGUAUGGCAGAGGGGGGUAGAAUUCCACGUGUAGCAGUGAAAUGCGUAGAGAUGUGGAGGAAUACCGAUGGCGAAGGCAGCCCCCUGGGCCAAUACUGACGCUCAUGCACGAAAGCGUGGGGAGCAAACAGGAUUAGAUACCCUGGUAGUCCACGCCCUAAACGAUGUCAACUAGUUGUUGGGGAUUCAUUCCUUAGUAACGUAGCUAACGCGUGAAGUUGACCGCCUGGGGGAGUACGGUCGCAAGAUUAAAACUCAAAUGAAUUGACGGGGUCAUAGCUGUUU